UACGUAGGUGACAAGCGUUGUCCGGAUUUACUGGGCGUAAAGCGCACGUAGGCGGAUCGAUCAGUCAGGGGUGAAAUCCCAGAGCUCAACUCUGGAACUGCCUUUGAUACUGUCGAUCUAGAGUAUGGAAGAGGUGAGUGGAAUUCCGAGUGUAGAGGUGAAAUUCGUAGAUAUUCGGAGGAACACCAGUGGCGAAGGCGGCUCACUGGUCCAUUACUGACGCUGAGGUGCGAAAGCGUGGGGAGCAAACAGG
rnacentral:rRNA from 1 species